CUGCCUAUGCUCUCCCAGCACAGUAUACCAAAACUGUCAAUAUCACCUUCCUGUGAAGAAGGACUCCCUUCAAGUAUUUCAGGAGCGAUGUACACUAGAUCCUGGCAUUUUCUCUGACAGUUCUGCAGGUCUGACCUCUGUUUCUGAUGCCUCCAGUUGGUCAGACCAUAAUCUGUUAUCUUGUGGAUGAGUGAAUGGAGGGAUCCAUUGAUCAUCCACUCAGUCACUAUCCCCACAAGUCUCUGGUAGCGGUAAAUCCCAAGAGAAGGCAGGAGACAUUCAGAUUUACAGCAUCUGAUAAUUGCUAUAUCCUGAAGCAGCAACUUCCA
rnacentral:lncRNA from 1 species